AAAUAAUUAAAUAAAAUAAUAAUAAACGGUCAAAAAGACCUCGAAAAGAACAAAACAAAACAAGACCGUUGGAUGUAUGAAGAUUCUAGAUCCUUAAUUACUACCAAAAAAAAUAAAAUUGAAAUGAACGGUGAGAUAUUGAGAUUGGAAAUGGACGGUUAGAUUAGGGGAAGAAGUUUUAACCUAACCUAAACCUAACAACAGCAGUAGCACGCCUCAUUUGAUCAUUUCAUCAUAAUCUAAACGGCUCUCUCUCUCUCUCCUAACUUGCUCCUUUCCAUCUCUCUCUCUCCUAACGCCUCUGAAUCUCCUAACUUUCUCACACCUCUGAAUCUCCCUCUUCAUCAUCUCUCUGCAUCUGAAUCUCCUUAUUGGCGAACGGUAAGAUCUGUCUUAUUCUCUCACGGUAUAAGACCUGUCAUACUAUACUCACGGUAUAACCGUAUAAGAUCUGUCAUACUAUACUCAGUUACUCACGGUAUAACCGUAUAAGAUCUGUCAUACUAUACUCACGGUAUAAGUGUAUAACCGUAUAAGGUAUUUUUUCUUUUUUCUUUUGCUAUGUAUAAUUAAUUAAUUUGUGCUUUUUUUUUUUGAAGUUUUAAUU